AGAUGAGGAGACAGAGACACAGAGCGAUUGAUGGACUUGCCCAAGGUCACCACAGCAAGUGAAGGGGAAAACAGAGAGGAGACGCUGAGGCACAGAGGGAAGAAGCGGCUUGAUCCAGGAGCCACAACAGGUCAUUGCCGGAGGCUGGGCUGUGAAGGGGUCCAAGGUCAAGUGAGAGAGACCCACCAUGGACAUACCAGAGAUACCAGUUGCCAUGGAAUGGCUGACCUGCAC